rnacentral:rRNA from 1 species
GUUGUUUAGUUGAAAAUCAAUUAAAUAGUUUUCGAUUUUAAGUAGUAUUUGACCUUAUCAGCUUGCUGCUUUCUUUUCGGAAAUUAUUUAAUGCACUUUUCAGUUAACAAGUCAACAUCAAUUUCUUUUGUUGUAAAAAGGUAAGAGGAAGGUGGCUUGCGCUUCGGCUCAAGUGUUUAUAGCCUUUUACCCCUGCAAUCGGAGAGAUUGAGGUCUGCAGCGUAGAUCCUUCGGGGUUAGAUACAUUUGUGCUAAGCUAUAGCCUUGUAUAGACAACUUGUUGACUAUGCUCAGUCAUGUAGCUUACUCGCUUAUGUUAUUUUACCUAC